UACGGAGAGUGCGAGCGUUGUCCGGAAUCACUGGGCGUAAAGGGCGCGUAGGCGGCCUGAUAAGUAGGGGGUGAAAUCCUGCGGCUUAACCGCAGGGCUGCCUUCUAAACUGUCAGGCUAGAGCACGGUAGAGGCAGAUGGAAUUCCCGGUGUAGCGGUGGAAUGCGUAGAGAUCGGGAAGAACAUCAGUGGCGAAGGCGGUCUGCUGGGCCGUUGCUGACGCUGAGGCGCGACAGCGUGGGGAGCAAACAGG
rnacentral:rRNA from 1 species